GGACCGCCCAUCGGGGGGCUAAGGCCAUACGGACAGCCGGGUCCACUGCCGA
ncrna:unclassified sequences Streptococcus sRNA SpF59 (ldcC RNA)